UACGUAGGGCGCAAGCGUUGUCCGGAUUCACUGGGUGUAAAGGGUGCGCAGGCGGGAGUGCAAGUCAGCGGUGAAAUCUCACGGCUCAACCGUGAAACUGCCGUUGAUACUGCAUUUCUUGAGUUAGGGAGAGGUUGAUGGAAUUCCAGGUGUAGCGGUGAAAUGCGUAGAUAUCUGGAAGAAUACCGGUGGCGAAGGCGGUCAACUGGCCCUCAACUGACGCUGAGGCACGAAAGCGUGGGGAUCAAACAGG
rnacentral:rRNA from 1 species